rnacentral:lncRNA from 1 species
CUGAGGGUGUAUGUGCUUCUUGUCCUAUUACUUGGUGCUACUGGAUAGCUGCCUAGGGGUUCUGGCUUGAUGGCCCUGUGCCAUGGGCUAGGCACUGCCGGGCCUGCUUUGUGGCUACCCUCAACUCCAAGCUUGGCUUCCCCUGGGGACCAGUCCCAUUCUUACUCAUAUGUGUUUUAGGAGCACAAGUGAGCAGUGUUUUGUAGUUUACCAGCUGUAUGGGAACUGUUGAAUCAUGGCCUGAGACUGAUUGAUCAGCUGAGGCAAGCACUGAGUCAGCUGCAGGAGCACAGCUGAAGGCAAUUCACCUGUGUGACCAGAAGGGGUAGAGCCUGGCUCCACCUCUCCUAGAGCCCCUAUUUAAGGGCUGACAGCCACUGAGGAAGGAUCUCUUUCUGGAGAUUGGUCCCUUUAGAGUUUUUCUGCAAGCCUAGAAUAUUGAUAUGCGUUCAUGAAAUGUUGUACCUGCAGAAGAAAAUCAAAGACUGCCAUCUUGGACCACUCAUGAUGAUGGAUUUCAGUACAGCCCCACUCAUCUUUGGGAACUUUACCAUUCUGCCAGCAUUUCUGCUUCAGUAGUUGUUGAUAUUUUCCCCAGGUUAAUCUCACUGAAGAAUGAGUAUUGUUAUCAGUUGGACUCAGUGAAGAAUCCCAGAGAAUAACAGGACACGCUUG